rnacentral:tRNA from 1 species
GGCAGAGUGCCUGAGUGGUUAAAGGGUCUGGCUCGAAACCAGAUGGGUUCGCCCGCGCAGGUUCGAGUCCUGUCUCUGUCG